rnacentral:lncRNA from 1 species
GGCAUGCACUUAUAUAAACCCCACAAUGAUAAAGUUUUCAUAGUUUGUGCCUUCAUUUUAAAUUAUGCAAUAAUUUUUCAUCUUCUUAUUUUUAUAUUUGCUUUUAUUUUUGGCCUCCAAAACCGUGUAUAGCUGCUAUUCAGCCAACCCCCACAGGAUUAUGUUGUAUGAUGAUGCAAUAAUAUUUAUUAUAAUUCACAAAAUGUAGGAUUACGGGUUAUAAUUCUAGAAGGCAAAACCAUUGUAGCCUUCAUAUGCGGUG